rnacentral:rRNA from 1 species
GACGAACGCUGGCGGCGUGCCUAAUACAUGCAAGUCGAACGCACUCUCGUUUAGAUUGAAGGAGCUUGCUCCUGAUUGAUAAACAUUUGAGUGAGUGGCGGACGGGUGAGUAACACGUGGGUAACCUGCCCUAAAGUGGGGGAUAACAUUUGGAAACAGAUGCUAAUACCGCAUAAAACCUAACACCGCAUGGUGUUGGGUUGAAAGAUGGUUUCGGCUAUCACUUUAGGAUGGACCCGCGGUGCAUUAGUUAGUUGGUGAGGUAAAGGCUCACCAAGACCGUGAUGCAUAGCCGACCUGAGAGGGUAAUCGGCCACACUGGGACUGAGACACGGCCCAGACUCCUACGGGAGGCAGCAGUAGGGAAUCUUCCACAAUGGACGAAAGUCUGAUGGAGCAACGCCGCGUGAGUGAAGAAGGUUUUCGGAUCGUAAAACUCUGUUGUUGGAGAAGAAUGUAUCUGAUAGUAACUGAUCAGGUAGUGACGGUAUCCAACCAGAAAGCC